CCUACGGCGGCAGCAGUGGGGAAUAUUGGACAAUGGGCGAAAGCCUGAUCCAGCCAUGCCGCGUGUGUGAAGAAGGCCUUCGGGUUGUAAAGCACUUUCAGUGGGGAAGAAAGCCUUGGGGCUAAUACCCUCGAGGAAGGACAUCACCCACAGAAGAAGCACCGGCUAACUCCGUGCCAGCAGCCGCGGUAAUACGGAGGGUGCGAGCGUUAAUCGGAAUUACUGGGCGUAAAGCGCGCGUAGGCGGUCUGAUAAGCCGGUUGUGAAAGCCCCGGGCUCAACCUGGGAACGGCAUCCGGAACUGUCAGGCUAGAGUGCAGGAGAGGAAGGUAGAAUUCCCGGUGUAGCGGUGAAAUGCGUAGAGAUCGGGAGGAAUACCAGUGGCGAAGGCGGCCUUCUGGACUGACACUGACGCUGAGGUGCGAAAGCGUGGGUAGCAAACAGGAUUAAUACCCGAGUAGUC
rnacentral:rRNA from 1 species